GAUGAACGCUGGCGGCAUGCCUUAUACAUGCAAGUCGAGCGAACAGAUGAUGUGGUUUCCUCUCUUACUUGAGCGUCGCACGGGUGUGUAACAUGUAGAGAACCGUCCUCUAAGACUGGGAUAACUUCGUGAAACGGGUGCCAAUUCCGGAUAAUAUCUUGAAGGUCAUGGUGCAAUAGUGCAAGACGUUUUUCCUUACAAUUAUAGGUUGAUCGGCGCCGGAUUAGCUAGUUGGUAAGGUAACGGCUUACCAAGGCAACGAUUAGUAGCUGACCUGAGAGGACGAUCGGCCACACUGGAACUGAGACACGGCCCAGACUCCUACGGGAGGCAGCAGUAGGGAAUCUUGGGCAAUGGGCGAAAGCCUGACGCAGCAAUGCCGCGUGUGUGAUGAAGGUCUUCGGAUCGUAAAGCACUGUUAUCAGGGAAGAAAAGAUGCGGAUGAAUCCCUGCGGGCGAUGACGGUACCUGAACAAUAAGCAACGGCUAACUACGUG
rnacentral:rRNA from 1 species